rnacentral:rRNA from 1 species
ACGUUAGCGGCGGACGGGUGAGUAACACGUGGGUAACCUACCUAUAAGACUGGGAUAACUUCGGGAAACCGGAGCUAAUACCGGAUAAUAUUUCGAACCGCAUGGUUCUAUAGUGAAAGAUGGUUUUGCUAUCACUUAUAGAUGGACCUGCGCCGUAUUAGCUAGUUGGUAAGGUAACGGCUUACCAAGGCGACGAUACGUAGCCGACCUGAGAGGGUGAUCGGCCACACUGGAACUGAGACACGGUCCAGACUCCUACGGGAGGCAGCAGUU